AACAUGCAGCUUCCUUACACAUCUGAUCUAAGUAUUGGUCGAAGUGGCUGAAAAAGGAGGAAAAGUAAAUCUUCGGGGCACUUGGAGUGUUUAGUGACACACAGGUUCAUUCCAAACAGAU
rnacentral:snoRNA from 1 species